GGCCGCCAGUAAAGUCAAGAAGGCGCUGGGGAUGAAGUCGGGUUCGACGAAGAGGAGAAGCGAUGGUGGUGAGUCAGUGAUUGAAGGGAAGGCCAAGAAAACGAUGACUGUUGGAGAGUUGGUUAGAGUUCAGAUGAGGGUAUCUGAGCAGACCGAUUCGAGGAUUAGGCGAGCGUUGUUGAGGAUUGCUGCUGGUCAGCUUGGAAGGCGCAUAGAGUCAAUGGUUCUGCCACUGGAGCUAUUGCAGCAGCUCAAGUCUUUGGAUUUUCCCAGUCGACAAGA
rnacentral:misc_RNA from 1 species